ensembl:snRNA U5 U5 spliceosomal RNA
AUACUCUGGUUUCUCUUCAGAUCGUAUAAAUCUUUCGCCUUUUACUAAAGAUUUCCGUGGAGAGGAACAUUUAUGAGUUUCUACCCAAUUUUUUGAGGCUUCACUUUGGUGAAGCU